GUCCUUCUGGCUCAAUGGUAGAGCGUCUGACUCCUAAUCAGAAGGUUCCGUGUUCGAGUCGCGGGUAGGAUACA